UUUUCUCUGUAAAGACCACUUUCCUAGGUGGAAUAAAAUAGAAAGUUAACACACCAACAAGCCAGUUGCAGGAGUUACUCUUUCUUGAAAGCUAGGAGGCACAUAUUCAUUUUUCUAUUGCUGCUGCAAUUAAUUACCACCAAUUCAGUGGCUUAACACCACACAAAUUUAUUAUCUCAUGAGUAUGUCAUUCAGAAAACUCUCUGUUCUGUAGGAUGGGCUCGACUGGCUUCUUUCCUCCCAAUCUCAAGGCCAAAAUCAAGGUGCUGCCUGGCCUUGGCUCUUCUGUGGAGGCUCUGGGAGAGAACACGCAGCCUGGCCCACGCAAGUUGUUGGCAGAGUUCAGCUCCUUUCAGCAGUGGCACUGAGGUUGCCAUUUCCUUGCUGGCUGUCAGUCACAGGUUGUUAUCUGCUCCAAGAGCCUUAAUUCUGGAUGCUGUCUUCAUAUUUAAAGCCAACAACA
rnacentral:lncRNA from 10 species